rnacentral:rRNA from 1 species
GACAGAGGGUGCAAGCGUUGUUCGGAAUUACUGGGCGUAAAGGGCGUGUAGGCGGUGGGGUGUGUCUGGUGUGAAAGCCCUCGGCUUAACCGAGGAAAUGCAUUAGAAACUACCCUGCUGGAGUGCGAGAGAGGAUGGCGGAAUUCCUGGUGUAGAGGUGAAAUUCGUAGAUACCAGGAGGAACACCGGAGGCGAAGGCGGCCAUCUGGAUCGUAACUGACGCUGAGACGCGAAAGCGUGGGUAGCAAACAGG